rfam:Kluyveromyces lactis strain NRRL Y-1140 chromosome D complete sequence.
GGAGGGUUGGCCGAGUGGUCUAAGGCGGCAGACUUAAGAUCUGUUGGACAAUUGUCCGCGCGAGUUCGAACCUCGCAUCCUUCA